CCCUAGAAAAGGCAAAAAGACAAAAAUAAAUAAAUAAAUAAAAAUGUCACAGUUGAGUAUGAUAUGGCUUUGUUAAGUAGAUUCUUUCAUGAGUCAUGUCUUGAUAAGCAAAUCUUUAUCUUCAGCUUGUGCAUUAAGGCUACAGGCAGACUUUGGGAGUCCUCGAGGCUGUUCCAUUCUCUCCCCAGAUCUGAGUAUCAUGAUCCAUUAAACUUUCCCAUAACAGUAGUGAGUGACCAGAAUAUAUCAGAAAUAGGGAAAGCAACGAUGAAUACUGAGUUUAUGGUCUAGCGAAGGAACAGACAUUAAAGACGUGCACCCUUUCAGUGGUAGUAGCCUCAGUUUCACAGCAAAGAGCAAAUUAAGGAGAGGUGUCCUGCCUAAACUCACCAGAAGAGUGAAACAUCAAAAUUAGAUAGAUUGGUGAGAAAGACACCCCACUUUCCCAUUGGAAAAAAGUUUAAGUCCUGGGCCUAUGCACACUCAUAAGUGCCCUCCUUGUUAGAAUUCUGAGUUCACCAACAAAUCAAAUGUGUACUGACUCUUUGGUGAAAAUGGGAUGUUUGCCAGAGGCAGAAACGGUUUUUAGAAUUCUAUAUUAUAGUUCCUAAGUAAGAGUAAGUAGGCUUUUCUAUUCCUCUUAAAGCUCGGAUGUACUUCUCAUCUCUCUCCCUAAGCAUGCGUAUUAGGGUCUGCAGAGGAGGGUUCCCCACUAAUCUCAAUUCUACACGUCUCAUCACCAGCAACAGUCAUAGAGGUUGAGAGUAGUCUGACUGUAGGAAUAUUUAGGGACCAUGACUAAGCUGGUAAUAAAAGUAGCCUUAUUAUUAUCAGUAUUAUUCCUGAUGUCUUAGGGUAACAGGCAAUCAGUGAAGGCUUUUACCCCUGCCUCUCUCUCCUCUCUUCUUUCCUCUCUGUAUGGCAUUCUCUGGGUUGAUUCUCCUCCCCAUGAGCUCAUACUACAAAACUUCUUUUGCUGUUGCAGCCUAUCAAAAUUGAUCUUUCCUCUGUCCCCUAGCAUAGCAUAGGAGAAUUAAUCAUGUAACAUAACCUUGGUAGUAUAUAAACAUGCAAUAAUAAAGGCACAAAUUUUUUGGUGCCCCAGAGUGAUUCCACCAGUAGUAGUAGCAGAGAAUUUAGGAUGGAUUGCUGGUGGUAAAAAUGACUGCAGGAAGAAGGUCAUUUUAAUGUCUUCGAAUAGAUUUUUAAAAGGGCCUCCAGUGAUCCCCACCUACUUGUAUAUGUUCUGUGUAAUCUCCUCCCUUUUUUCCCCAUUUUUUAAAGUUUUAUUAAAGUAUGGUUGGUGUACAAUGUUGUGAUAAUUUCUGCUGUACGACAAAGUGAUUCCAUUAUACGUAUACACACAUCCCUUCUUUUUCAUAUUCUUUUCCCAUGUAGAUCAUCACAGAAUAUUAGAUAGAGUUCCCUGUGCUAUACAGCAGAUGCCUAUUGGCCAAUCGUUGUAUAUAUCCCAGUGUGCAUAUGCCAAUCCCAAACCCCCAGUCCAUCCCUCCCACCCACCUGUCUUCUUUGGUAACCAUAAAUUUGUUUUCAAAAUCUGUGAGUCUGUUUCUGUUCUGCAGGUAAGAGAUAAGUUCAUUUGCAUUUGUACCUUUUUUUUUUUUUUAGAUUGUGCCUCUAAGUGUUAUCAUAUGAUGUUUGUCUUUCACUGCCUAACUUCACUUAGUAUGAUAAUCUCUUGGUCCAUCCAUGUUGCUGCAAAUAACAUUAUUUCAUUUUUUUAAUGGCUGAGUAAUAUUCCAUUGUAUAUGCAUGUGGCACAUCUUCUUUAUCCAUUCUCCUGUCAGACAUUUAGUUGCUUCCAUGUCUCGGCUAUUGUAAAUAGUGCUGCAGUGAACAUUGGGGUGCAUGUAUCUUUUCAAAUUAUGAUUUUCUCCAGAUAAAUGCCUAGGAGUGGGAUUGCUGCCUCCUAUGGUAGUUCUAUUUUUAGUUUUUUGAGGAACCUCCCUAAUGUUUUCCAUAAUGGUUGUACCAAUUUCCAUUCCAACCAAGAGUGUAAGAUGGUUCCUUUUUCUUCACACCUUCUCUAGCACUAAUUGCUCAUAGACUUUUGGAUGACAGCCAUUCUGGCUGAUGUAAGAUGGUACCUCAUAGUUGUUUUUUUUUGUUGUUCAUUUUUGCAUUUUAGGGCUGCACAUGUGGCAUAUGGAAGUUCCCAGGCUAAGGGUAAAAUCAGAGCUGCAACUGCCAGCUUACACCACAGCCAUAGCAAUUUGGGAUCCAAGCCAUGUCUGUGACCUAAACCACAGCUCAUGCAACACUGGAACCCUUAACCCACUGAGCAAAGCCAGGGAUCAAACCUGUAUCCUCAUGGAUAUUCACCACAGUGGGAACUCUCCUUCAUAGUAUUUUGAUUUGUGGUACCUCGUAGUAGUUUUGAUUUAUAUUUCUCUAAUAAUUUGUCUUUUUUGAUAUUGAGCUGCAUGAGUUGUUUGUAUAUUUUGGAGAUUAAUCUCUUGUCAGUCACUUCAUUUGCAACUGCGUGCCUAAGAGGACUUUAAACAGUCUGUUUGCUGAUGAGUGGGGCUGUAUUCCCGCUCUGUUUGUUGUUUGGCCUGGGGCUUCUCAGCCCUGAUGGAUGGGGUCAGAUUUUUCCAGAAUGGCUCUUUCAGAGGAGUUCAUACUGAUGAUUGUACCCAGGACUUCCGCCUCCAAUGUCCUGCCCCCACAGUGACCCACAGUCACCCCCUUCUUUCCCUGGAGACCCUCCAAGAUCCGCAGGUGGGUCUGAUCCAGAUUCUUAACAGAGUCCCUGCUUUCCCCUGGGACCCAGUGCAUCGAGAAUCCUGUGCAAGAGGAGUCUCUGUUUCCCCUAGUCCUGUGGAGCUCCUGCAACUCAGGCCCCACUGCCCUUCAAUGCCAAGUGCUCCAGGGGCUCUUCCUCCCAAUGCCAGACCCCCCAGGUGUGGGAACCUAAUUUUGGGCUCAGAACUUUCACUCCUGUGGGAGAGCCUCUGCGAUGCAGUUAUUUUCCAGUCUGUGGGUCGCCUACAUGGCGGGUAUGGGAUUGAUUAUAUCACGAAAGUGCCCCUCCUACAGUCUCAGUGUGGCUUCUUUGUGUGUAGAAUACACAUACACACACACACACACAAACACACACACAUAUAUAUGUAGCUUCCAGUCUAUUUUGUUGAUUGCUGUUCAGCAGUUGUAAUUUUGGUGUUUUCAUGAGUGGAGGUGAACUUGAGCCCUUCUCUCCCACCAUCUUGUCUCUGACCUCCUGUAAUCCCCUCCCUUUGAGAGUGGCCUGAAAUUAGUGACUUGAUUUUAACUAACAGAAUAUGGCAAAAUAGAUGGAAUGCUACUUAUGCAAUUAAGUUAUAAGGUCUGUGAUUUCCAGUUUGCUAGAAGGCUUUCUCUGUUGCCUUCUUGGCUUGCAUGUUUAGAUAAAGAAAGCUGCUGUGUAGGAGAGGCUCAUACGGCAAAGAUAUGAGUAUGGCUUUUGGCCAACAGCCAGUGAGGAACUGCAGGCUUCAGUCUGGCAACACAUGGAAAAUGAACGUUGCAAAAAACCACUGAAGGAGUGUGGAAGAAAAUCUUUCACUAGUUGAGCCU
rnacentral:lncRNA from 1 species